rnacentral:SRP_RNA from 1 species
UGGAGGGUAAUUUCAAUAAUAGCCUAUGAACCUUGUCAGAUCCGGAAGGAAGCAGCAAUAAGUAGAUACUAUUAUGUGAAUAUUACUUUCCAUAG